UACGUAGGCAGCGAGCGUUGUUCGGAUUUACUGGGCGUAAAGGGCGCGUAGGCGGCGUGGUAAGUCACUUGUGAAAUCUCUGAGCUUAACUCAGAACGGCCAAGUGAUACUGCUGUGCUAGAGUGCAGAAGGGGCAAUCGGAAUUCUUGGUGUAGCGGUGAAAUGCGUAGAUAUCAAGAGGAACACCUGAGGUGAAGACGGGUUGCUGGGCUGACACUGACGCUGAGGCGCGAAAGCCAGGGGAGCAAACGGG
rnacentral:rRNA from 1 species